UACGUAGGGUGCGAGCGUUAAUCGGAAUUACUGGGCGUAAAGCGCACGUAGGCGGUUUUUUAAGUCAGAUGUGAAAGCCCCGGGCUCAACCUGGGAACUGCAUUUGUGACUGUAUAGCUAGAGUACGGCAGAGGGGGAUGGAAUUCCGCGUGUAGCAGUGAAAUGCGUAGAUAUGCGGAGGAACACCAAUGGCGAAGGCAAUCCCCUGGGCCUGUACUGACGCUCAUGCACGAAAGCGUGGGGAGCAAACAGG
rnacentral:rRNA from 1 species